CCCCUCCUCAUUGACCCAAAUCCCGUGGAGGCAGCACACGAACCAAAUCUUCUCCGAGGGCGUCGGCGGUGGCCGUCGCGCAGAUCCCUAGUCCAAGUUGGGUGAGCACUCCUAGUAGAGCUUCCGUCGUAGAUUCCCUUCUGAAGCUUCCAACAUCGGUGGGUUCUUUGCCUCCUCUCUCAAGUAACAACUAGCGCCCUCCUCCCCCUCGUCGGCGGCAAGCCGGUGGUGGUCUCCUCGGCUCCUUCCCCUCCAGUCCGUGCAACGAGGUGGUUCAUUUUCCUGGUGGCGGGCUCCUCGGCUCCUUCCGAACCGACCUGUGUGACGUGGUGCAAAUCUACAAGGCAUCAACACGAUGGUUAAUUUCUCUGGACAAGAAGUUCGAUGAACAAGAAGCACUUCAUCUAGAGGCAACUAUUGUGUGUCAUCAAGAUAGCAACGUCGAUCUAGUUCUUAAUGGCAAUGCUUGCUCAGUGAUGAUUAUCAUAGUCCUUCAAACUUAGCAUAGCCCGCCAUGUACGAAAGUUGAAGCAAUUUUCUCUAGUAAUUCUUGUUGAUCUUGUCAGGUUAUUGAUAGCUCAAUAUGAAUGUCUUCUUGUGUUAUGCCCGGUAUGUUCCAGUUUGACAUGUACUAAAAAAUGUGCCGUGGAUAGACCAGUUUGACAUGCAGUCAAGCAUUAUGUGCCUAGAAUGGUCCAUUUUAACGUAUACCCAAUUUUCUGUUCCUGAGAUGCUUC
rnacentral:rRNA from 1 species